rnacentral:rRNA from 1 species
UUUAGAGUUUGAUCCUGGCUCAGGACGAACGCUGGCGGCGUGCUUAACACAUGCAAGUCGAACGAUGAACCGCUUUCGGGCGGGGAUUAGUGGCGAACGGGUGAGUAACACGUGGGCAAUCUGCCCUGCACUCUGGGACAAGCCCUGGAAACGGGGUCUAAUACCGGAUAUGACUGUCNGCCGCAUGGUGGAUGGUGUAAAGCUCCGGCGGUGCAGGAUGAGCCCGCGGCCUAUCAGCUUGUUGGUGAGGUAGUGGCUCACCAAGGCGACGACGGGUAGCCGGCCUGAGAGGGCGACCGGCCACACUGGGACUGAGACACGGCCCAGACUCCUACGGGAGGCAGCAGUGGGGAAUAUUGCACAAUGGGCGAAAGCCUGAUGCAGCGACGCCGCGUGAGGGAUGACGGCCUUCGGGUUGUAAACCUCUUUCAGCAGGAAGAAGCGAAAGGACGAC